CACAUGCAAGUCGAGGGGUAUAGUAGCAAUACUAGAGACCGGCGCACGGGUGCGUAACGCGUAUGCAAUCUACCUUUUGCAGAGGGAUAGCCCAGAGAAAUUUGGAUUAAUACCUCAUAGUAUAACGACUCGGCAUCGAGAUGUUAUUAAAGUCACAACGGCAAAAGAUGAGCAUGCGUCCCAUUAGUUAGUUGGUAAGGUAACGGCUUACCAAGACUACGAUGGGUAGGGGUCCUGAGAGGGAGAUCCCCCACACUGGUACUGAGACACGGACCAGACUCCUACGGGAGGCAGCAGUGAGGAAUAUUGGUCAAUGGGCGCAAGCCUGAACCAGCCAUGCCGCGUGCAGGAUGACGGUCCUAUGGAUUGUAAACUGCUUUUGCACAGGAAGAAACACUGAUUCGUGAAUCAGCUUGACGGUACUGUGAGAAUAAGGAUCGGCUAACUCCGUGCCAGCAGCCGCGGUAAUACGGAGGAUCCAAGCGUUAUCCGGAAUCAUUGGGUUUAAAGGGUCCGUAGGCGGUCUUAUAAGUCAGUGGUGAAAUCUCCCCGCUCAACGGGGAAACGGCCAUUGAUACUGUAGGACUUGAAUUAUUAGGAAGUAACUAGAAUAUGUAGUGUAGCGGUGAAAUGCUUAGAGAUUACAUGGAAUACCAAUUGCGAAGGCAGGUUACUACUAAUGGAUUGACGCUGAUGGACGAAAGCGUGGGUAGCGAACAGGAUUAGAUACCCUGGUAGUCCACGCCGUAAACGAUGGAUACUAGCUGUUGGGCGCAAGUUCAGUGGCUAAGCGAAAGUGAUAAGUAUCCCACC
rnacentral:rRNA from 1 species